UCAGAUUGAACGCUGGCGGCAGGCCUAACACAUGCAAGUCGAACGGUAGCACAGAGAGCUUGCUCUCGGGUGACGAGUGGCGGACGGGUGAGUAAUGUCUGGGAAACUGCCUGAUGGAGGGGGAUAACUACUGGAAACGGUAGCUAAUACCGCAUAACGUCGCAAGACCAAAGAGGGGGACCUUCGGGCCUCUUGCCAUCAGAUGUGCCCAGAUGGGAUUAGCUAGUAGGUGGGGUAACGGCUCACCUAGGCGACGAUCCCUAGCUGGUCUGAGAGGAUGACCAGCCACACUGGAACUGAGACACGGUCCAGACUCCUACGGGAGGCAGCAGUGGGGAAUAUUGCACAAUGGGCGCAAGCCUGAUGCAGCCAUGCCGCGUGUAUGAAGAAGGCCUUCGGGUUGUAAAGUACUUUCAGCGGGGAGGAAGGUGUUGUGGUUAAUAACCACAGCAAUUGACGUUACCCGCAGAAGAAGCACCGGCUAACUCCGUGCCAGCAGCCGCGGUAAUACGGAGGGUGCAAGCGUUAAUCGGAAUUACUGGGCGUAAAGCGCACGCAGGCGGUCUGUCAAGUCGGAUGUGAAAUCCCCGGGCUCAACCUGGGAACUGCAUUCGAAACUGGCAGGCUAGAGUCUUGUAGAGGGGGGUAGAAUUCCAGGUGUAGCGGUGAAAUGCGUAGAGAUCUGGAGGAAUACCGGUGGCGAAGGCGGCCCCCUGGACAAAGACUGACGCUCAGGUGCGAAAGCGUGGGGAGCAACA
rnacentral:rRNA from 2 species